CAGUAGCCGCGGGAAUACGAAGGGGGCUAGCGUUGUUCGGAUUUACUGGGCGUAAAGGGCGCGUAGGCGGACUGAUAAGUCAGGGGUGAAAUCCCAAGGCUCAACCUUGGAACUGCCUUUGAUAUUGUUUGUCUUGAGUUCGAGAGAGGUAAGUGGAACUGCGAGUGUAGAGGUGAAAUUCGUAGAUAUUCGCAAGAACACCAGUGGCGAAGGCGGCUUACUGGCUCGAAACUGACGCUGAGGCGCGAAAGCGUGGGGAGCAAACAGGAUUAGAGACCCCGGUAGUCCCUGUCUCUUAUAC
rnacentral:rRNA from 1 species